rnacentral:rRNA from 1 species
UACGUAGGGGGGCAAGCGUUGUCCGGAUUCAUUGGGCGUAAAGAGCGUGUAGGCGGCCAGGUAGGUCGGUUGUGAAAACUGGAGGCUCAACCUUCAGAGGUCGACCGAAACCAUCUGGCUAGAGUCCGGGAGAGGAGAGUGGAAUUCCUGGUGUAGCGGUGAAAUGCGCAGAUAUCAGGAAGAACACCCGUGGCGAAAGCGGCUCUCUGGACCACAACUGACGCUGAGGCGCGAAAGCUAGGGGAGCGAACAGG